AAGUCGUAACAAGGUAACCGUAGGUGAACCUGCGGUUGGAUCAUUAAAAAAUGUUUUGGUCUCGUGCCAAAUCAACACCUGUGUGCACCAUUGUCUGUAUUUGGUAGUCUAGGAGGGGGGCGACCCGCAAGGGCCCGCUCAUUUUCCUCCGUGACCCCAAUCUUCGCAAGUUGGUUGGGUUCGGGCUACCGCCUUUAUUGAAAAACCUUAUGUUUGUUUUUGUUUUUUGUCUGAACGAAGAGUUAAUCUUCAUUGAUUAAUGAUUUGAAUACAACUUUUGACAACGGAUCUCUUGGCUCUC
rnacentral:misc_RNA from 1 species